CUGGCCUGCUGCCAUGAGGUUUUGUCGAUUUCCCCAGCCGUCCACACGACCCCCCAUAGACAUCAGACUUGUUCUUAUGCACGUAAUUGUUCAGCUCUGAUGUGGGAUCGUGGCAGAUAAAGUACCAGAAGUUGAAGAGGAUCCACCAGAUGGAGAUGACUGCAACUGUGAGGGACAACUUGAGUUGUGUAAAACCUACCUUAUCCUGCAUCCCGGGC